rfam:Triticum urartu cultivar G1812 contig313011, whole genome shotgun sequence.
GAAAUACUCCCUCCGUCCCAAAAUUCUUGUCUUAGAUUUGUCUAAAUACGGAUGUAUCAAGUCAUGUUUUGGUAUUAGAUACAUCCGUAUCUAGUCUAGUAUAAGACAAAAUUUUUGGGACGGAGGGAGUAUAAG